GACUACACGGGUAUCUAAGCCCGUUUGCUCCCCACGCUUUCGCACAUGAGCGUCAGGCUAGUGCCAGGGUGUCGCUUUCGCCACUGGUAUUCCUCCCGAUAUCUACGCAUUCCACCACUACACCGGGAAUUCUACACCCCUCUCACCACCUCAAGCUGACCAGUUUCCAACGACCCCUCCCAGUUAAGCCAGGAGAUUUCACGUCAGACUUAAUCUGCCGCCUGCGUGCGCUUUACGCCCAGUAAUUCCGGAUAACGCUUGUCACCUACGUAUUACCGCGGCUGCUGGCACGUAGUUAGCCGUGACUUAUUCGACGGGUACCGUCCUCUCUCUUCCCCGUCAAAAGGAGUUUACAACCCGAAGGCCGUCUUCCUCCACGCGGCGUUGCUGGGUCAGGCUUUCGCCCAUUGCCCAAUAUUCCUCACUGCAGCCUCCCGUAGG
rnacentral:rRNA from 1 species